ACCACAUUGGUGUUUUUUGUUGUUUUGGUUUUAUUUUGGGUAAGAAUUAUUGUAGCGGAAGAAGCAAAAACGAGCAUUUAACUGUAGCGGAUGCAACAAUUGUUUCACGUAUAAAACCAAAAAGUUGCAACAAUCUAGGGUUUGCUUUGCUCGUUCGGUCUGGCGAUUCUGGGCGAUUCUCGGUGACGGCUGGGCAACAACUGAGAAGGAUGGUUCCACUGCUGUUUUCGGCCGAUCUCUUCGACGAUCUCUAACCAGAUAUGAAGUGUGUUGAUGCUCUCUUAAAGGCCACAUGUACUGUUAUGAAGAUGAUGUGUCGUUGCCAUUGUCAUCCACUUUAUGAACUUCUUAUCAAUUUUUACUGACAACUAUGUAUUGUUAAUGCUUUGUUCUAAACAUUUUAUGUACAACUUAAACUUGUUUAAUUUGUUGGUUGAAUAUUUAAAGACUUGUAAAUGGUAUACACUCUAUUUCAAUUA